rnacentral:rRNA from 1 species
AGUGAACGCUGGCGGUAGGCCUAACACAUGCAAGUCGAACGGCAGCACAGUAAGAGCUUGCUCUUACGGUUGGCGAGUGGCGGACGGGUGAGGAAUACAUCGGAAUCUACUUUUUCGUGGGGGAUAACGUAGGGAAACUUACGCUACUACCUCAUACGACCUACGGGUGAAAGCAGGGGAUUUUCGGACCUUUCGCGAUGUAAUGCGCCGAUGUCGGAUUAGCUAGUUGGCGGGGUAAAGGCCAACCAAGGCGACGAUCCGUAGCUGGUCUGAGAGGAUGAUCAGCCACACUGGAACUGAGACACGGUCCAGACUCCUACGGGAGGCAGCAGUGGGGAAUAUUGGACAAUGGGCGCAAGCCUGAUCCAGCCAUACCGCGUGGGUGAAGAAGGCCUUCGGGUUGUAAAGCCCUUUUGUUGGGAAAGAAAAGCAGCAGGUUAAUACCCCGCUGUUCUGACGGUACCCAAAGAAUAAGCACCGGCUAACUUCGUG